UGGGGAAUAUUGCACAAUGGGCGCAAGCCUGAUGCAGCCAUGCCGCGUGUGUGAAGAAGGCCUUCGGGUUGUAAAGCACUCUCAGCGAGGAGGAAGGGUAGUGUGUUAAUAGCACAUUGCAUUGACGUUACUCGCAGAAGAAGCACCGGCUAACUCCGUGCCAGCAGCCGCGGUAAUACGGAGGGUGCAAGCGUUAAUCGGAAUUACUGGGCGUAAAGCGCACGCAGGCGGUUUGUUAAGUCAGAUGUGAAAUCCCCGCGCUUAACGUGGGAACUGCAUUUGAAACUGGCAAGCUAGAGUCUUGUAGAGGGGGGUAGAAUUCCAGGUGUAGCGGUGAAAUGCGUAGAGAUCUGGAGGAAUACCGGUGGCGAAGGCGGCCCCCUGGACAAAGACUGACGCUCAGGUGCGAAAGCGUGGGGAGCAAACA
rnacentral:rRNA from 1 species